UGGAUAGUAGCCAUCAGAGGAAGUGAUGCUAUUGACAUCACGGAUAGUAGCCAUCAGAGGAAGUGAUGCUAUUGACAUCAUGGUCAUGGAUAGUAGCCAUCAGAGGAAGUGAUGCUAUUGACAUCAUGGUCGUGGAUAGUAGCCAUCAGAGGAAGUGAUGCUAUUGACAUCAUGGAUAUGGAUAGUAGCCAUCAGAGGAAGUGAUGCUAUUGACAUCAUGGAUAGUAGCCAUCAGAGGAAGUGA
rnacentral:lncRNA from 13 species